rnacentral:lncRNA from 1 species
AUAGUCACCAACAAAGUCUUAUUGCAAGCUAACAACAACUUCAGUGCAUGGCAUACGAAGAUCAAGCUAUUCAGCCCUUUUGCAUCUGCUUCAGACAUUUCCCCUCUGUAACAAUGCAAACACUACAACUCGUAGAAAGCUUCACACUCUUGAUCAAGACAAUAUGAAGCAAAACCAAUUUAUGGUGCCAACAAGAGCUUCAUUAAAGGAGUUUAACCACAAUUCUCAAAAGCUUCACACACUCUUGAUCAAGACAGUGUGAAGCAAAACCAAUUUAUAGUGCCAACAAGAGCUUCAUCAACGGAGGGUAACCACAAUUCUCAAAAGCUUCACACACUCUUGAUCAAGACAAUGUGAAGCAAAACCAAUUUAUGGUGCCAACAAGAGCUUCAUUAAAGGAGGUUAACCACAAUUCUCAAAAGCUUCACACACUCUUGAUCAAGACAGUGUGAAGCAAAACCAAUUUAUGGUGCCAAC